GCCAGCCAGUCCCCAGGCCCCAGGGCCAGCACACAUUUGCGGGGCCGCUUUAAAUGGCAGAGUCAAUGUCAAAUCCACAGAGAAGUCAUAACGUGGGACCGGAAUGAAAAAUGGGGGUUAAAAAUUCAGAGCCAUGCCUUUAGUUCAUCCUUUGACCUGAGCAGUUAACAUUCAUUUCUUUCCUAAGCAGGUGAUUUGAAUGCAGCGCGUUGGAAGACUUUGUUUUCAGUCUCUGUGGUUCCUUUCACACAGGUUUUUUGUUUGUUUGUUUUCUUUUUCCUUUUUUUUUCUCCCCACUAAGGGCUUCAAGAGGCACGGCUUUGAGAAAACAGUCCUCUCUCUGGGACUCAUCUCAGCCGAAGUCAUCAGGAAUGGCCUCCGGGACGGGACGGCAGCAGGAAUUCAGUGACCACUAACAGCUGUGGGAAAGAUGAGGCUGUCGGAAGAAGA
rnacentral:lncRNA from 1 species